rnacentral:rRNA from 1 species
UACAGAGGUCUCAAGCGUUGUUCGGAUUCAUUGGGCGUAAAGGGUGUGUAGGUGGCGCGCUAAGUCGGGUGUGAAAUUUCGGAGCUUAACUCCGGAACUGCAUUCGAUACUGGCGUGCUUGAGGACUGGAGAGGAGACUGGAAUUCAUGGUGUAGCAGUGAAAUGCGUAGAGAUCAUGAGGAAGACCAGUGGCGAAGGCGGGUCUCUGGACAGUUCCUGACACUGAGACACGAAGGCCAGGGAGCAAACGGG